GCGGUCAUUCAAUGAGAGAUGUCAGUAAGUUGACUAUUGUUUGUUUUGACAACAUUGGCCCUGUAGGACAAGCUGGCGGACCCCUCCCACCCUCUCAAGCAAGCAGUAAAAGCCCUGCAGGACAAGCUGGCGUACUCCUCCCAUCGUCUCCAUCGGCCCAGUUCAGCACCACCUUCCAGACAGCAAGCAGUGAAAGUCUUACAGGACAAGCUGUUGGACCAUUCUCACACUCUCCAUCAAGCACAUCAAGUGACAGGCCAAUCUUCCCCCCAGAAGUGUUACAACAAAUUAUUGGAGAAACACUGUGUCUUGAUAUGUCUAUGCUAGGUGUUUUUAACAGAGUAUCAAAAUCUUGCUGUACUGUCUGUCCACUAGCCACUUUUUACCACUGUCUUACUGCUUCACUGUUUGCAUGCUAUAUUAGCACAUAU